rnacentral:rRNA from 1 species
UGACGGUACCCUACUAGAAAGGAGCCGCUAACUUCGUGCCAGAAGCGUCGGUAAUACGGGGGCUCCAAGCGUUAUCCGGUGUUAUUGGGCGUAAAGAGUCGUGUAGGUGGUUGGGUAAGUUAUCUUUCAAAUAUCUUUGCUUAACAAAGAGGAGGGGGAUAAUACUGCUCGACUAGAAUUUUCUCAAGGGAGAUCGGAACUGAGGGAGGAGUAGUGAAAUGCGUUGAUACCCUCGGGAACACCAGUGGCGUAGGCGGAUCUCUGGGAGAAGAUUGACACUGAGACACGAAAGCUAGGGGAGCGUAGCAGAUUAGAGACCUGCGUAGUCCUAGCCGUAAACGCAUGCUUGCUAGCUGCAUGAAUCUACCUUCGGGUGGUAUCGUGUGACGAAGGUAACCCGUUAAGCAAGCCGCCUGGAAAGUACGGCCGCAAGGCUGAAAUUCAAAGGAAUUGGCGGGGAGGCACACAACCAGUGGAACAUGUGGUUUAAUUCGAGACUAACCGAAGAACCUCACCAGGGUUUGACAUGUAGCUGCACGUCUUAAGAAAUUAAGACUCUCUUGAAGGUGCUACACAGGUGCUGCAUGGCUGUCGUCAGCUCGUUCCGUGAGGAGUGCCCUUAAGUGGGACAACGAGCGCAACCCCUAUUACAUGUUAGAAAUGUCAUGUAAGACUGCCUUGCCAUUUGGCGGGGAGGAAGGAGGGGCAGACGUCAAGUCCGCAUGGUCCUUAUGCCCUGGGCUACACACAUGUUACAAUGAGUACGGCAAUGAGUCUGUCGCGAGCACGUAAGUGUAAGCUAAUCUCUUAAAUGUACUCUCAGUGGGGAUUGAGGUCUGCAACUCGACCUCAUGAACACGGAAUUGGUAGUAAUCGCGGGUCAGCUAUACCGCGGUGAAUACGUUCUUGCCUCUUGCACACACCGCCCGUCAAACCAGCAAAGUCGAUUGUAUCCGAACCU